GCCCAGCCCUCAACAAAGGUGUACUAACUACACACUACACUCGCCAGGGAAUUACGAGCAAUUUGCUUAAAACUCAAAGGACUUGACGGUAUUUCGAACCCCCCUAGAGGAGCCUGUCCUGUAAUCGAUAACACACGAUCCACCUAACCACCUUUUGCCCUAAACAGCCUGUAUACCGCCGUCGCAAGCUAAGCCCGUGAGGGACAAAACCCCAGCACAAUAACACACCUCUAAGCUAGUACGUCAGGUCAAGGUGCAGCCUAUAAGUUGGUAGAGACGGGCUACAUUUUCUACAUCAUAGAAAUUGGUCACGGAGAGGCCUGUGAAACCAGGACUGUCAAAGACGGAUUUAGCAGUAAAUUAGGAGAAGAGUGCCUAAUUGAAGGUGGCCCCGGAAUAUGUACACACCGCCCGUCACCCUCA
rnacentral:rRNA from 1 species